UACGGAGGGUGCGAGCGUUGUCCGGAAUCACUGGGCGUAAAGGGCGCGUAGGCGGCGCGGAUAGUCGGCGGUGAAAGCCCGGAGCUCAACUCCGGGUCGGCCGUCGAUACUUCCGGGCUUGAGCACUGUAGAGGCAGAUGGAAUUCCGGGUGUAGCGGUGGAAUGCGUAGAGAUCCGGAAGAACACCGGUGGCGAAGGCGGUCUGCUGGGCAGUUGCUGACGCUGAUGCGCGACAGCGUGGGGGAGCAAACAGG
rnacentral:rRNA from 1 species